UACGUAGGGCGCAAGCGUUGUCCGGAAUUAUUGGGCGUAAAGAGCUCGUAGGCGGCUUGUCACGUCGGAUGUGAAAGCCCGGGGCUUAACCCCGGGUCUGCAUUCGAUACGGGCAGGCUAGAGUGUGGUAGGGGAGAUCGGAAUUCCUGGUGUAGCGGUGAAAUGCGCAGAUAUCAGGAGGAACACCGGUGGCGAAGGCGGGUCUCUGGGCCGAUACUGACGCUGAGGAGCGAAAGCAUGGGUAGCGAACAGG
rnacentral:rRNA from 1 species